rfam:Trichobilharzia regenti genome assembly, scaffold: TRE_scaffold0088558
GUACUGACGAAGAGUCCCAAACUAGGACGAAACAGUUGUCCAGUAC